rnacentral:rRNA from 1 species
CAGCAGCCGCGGGAAUACAGAGGGUGCGAGCGUUAAUCGGAUUUACUGGGCGUAAAGCGUGCGUAGGCGGCUUUUUAAGUCGGAUGUGAAAUCCCUGAGCUUAACUUAGGAAUUGCAUUCGAUACUGGGAAGCUAGAGUAUUGGAGAGGAUGGUAGAAUUCCAGGUGUAGCGGUGAAAUGCGUAGAGAUCUGGAGGAAUACCGAUGGCGAAGGCAGCCAUCUGGCCUAAUACUGACGCUGAGGUACGAAAGCAUGGGGAGCAAACAGGAUUAGAUACCCCCGUAGUCCCUGUCUCUUAUAC